GAUUAACGCUGGCGGCGUGCAUAACACAUGCAAGUCGAACGAAGUGGCGGACGGGUGAGUAACGCGUGAGUAACCUGCCUUAGAGAAGGGGAUAGCCUUUGGAAACGAAGAAUAAUACCCUAUGCUCUAAGAUGGACUUGCGUCUGAUUAGUUAGUUGGUGGGGUAACGGCCCACCAAGACAGCGAUCAGUAGCCGGCUUGAGAGAGUGUACGGCCACAUUGGGACUGAGACACGGCCCAGACUCUACGGGAGGCAGCAGUGGGGAAUUUUGCACAAUGGGGGAAACCCUGAUGCAGCGACGCCGCGUGAUUUAGAAGGCCUUCGGGUUGUAAAAAUCUUUUCUAUGGGAAGCAGUACCAUAGGAAUAAGGACCGGCUAAUUACGUGCCAGCAGCCGCGGUAAUUC
rnacentral:rRNA from 1 species